CGUAGGUAAAUUGGGCAUGGAGGGACUCUGACCCAGCCAUGCCGCGUGCAGGAAGAAGGCGUUAUGCGUUGUAAACUGCUUUUUUUUAGGAAGAAGGAUCUCUUGCGAGAGAAGGUGACGGGACUAUAAGAAUAAGCACCGGCUAACUCCGUGCCAGCAGCCGCGGUAAUCA
rnacentral:rRNA from 1 species